AUUGAACGCUGGCGGAAUGCUUUACACAUGCAAGUCGAACGGCAGCACGGACUUCGGUCUGGUGGCGAGUGGCGAACGGGUGAGUAAUGCAUCGGAACGUGCCCAGUCGUGGGGGAUAACGUAGUGAAAAUUACGCUAAUACCGCAUACGAUCUAUGGAUGAAAGCGGGGGAUCGCAAGACCUCGCGCGAUUGGAGCGGCCGAUAUCAGAUUAGGUAGUUGGUGGGGUAAAGGCCCACCAAGCCAACGAUCUGUAGCUGGUCUGAGAGGACGACCAGCCACACUGGAACUGAGACUCGGUCCAGACUCCUACGGGAGGCAGCAGCGGGGAAUUUUGGACAAUGGGCGAAAGCCUGAUCCAGCCAUUCCGCGUGCAGGAUGAAGGCCCUCGGGUUGUAAACUGCUUUUGUACAGAACGAAAAGGUUUCUACUAAUACUAGGAGCUCAUGACGGUACUGUAAGAAUAAGCACCGGCUAACUACGUGCCAGCAGCCGCGGUAA
rnacentral:rRNA from 1 species